rnacentral:lncRNA from 1 species
UUGAAUCAAAAUGUCCAAGGGAAUUUGGGUUUCUACAAGACAUUUUUGUCUAUUGGAUUGCUACCCAGUGGUCAGAUCUUUUCAACUCUUAACUUUUAAUUUUGUGCAUAGGAUUAGUCUCUUCAUCUCAUCCCCAUUUCUUUAAUUUCAAAAUCUCUCUCUCGUUUUAAAAAUCUUCUUUGCUUGAACUAGUUGUGUCCUAAACUUUGACCACUUUGCAAACUAGAAACUUU